AGAUUGAACGCUGGCGGCAUGCCUUACACAUGCAAGUCGAACGGUAGAGUAGCAAUACUCGAGAGUGGCGAACGGGUGAGUAAUAUAUCGGAACGUGCCCAGUCGUGGGGGAGUAACGUAGAGAAAUUUACGCUAAUACCGCAUACGAUCUAACGGAUGGAAAGCGGGGGAUCGCAAGACCUCGCGCGAUUGGAGCGGCUGAUAUCAGUAUUAGGUUG
rnacentral:rRNA from 1 species